rnacentral:rRNA from 1 species
UACGUAGGGCGCAAGCGUUAUCCGGAAUUAUUGGGCGUAAAGAGCUCGUAGGCGGUUUGUCGCGUCUGCCGUGAAAGUCCGGGGCUCAACUCCGGAUCUGCGGUGGGUACGGGCAGACUAGAGUGAUGUAGGGGAGACUGGAAUUCCUGGUGUAGCGGUGAAAUGCGCAGAUAUCAGGAGGAACACCGGUGGCGAAGGCGGGUCUCUCGGCGGUCAACAUGCGCUGAGGUACGAAAGCUGGGGAGCAAACAGGG